GAGGCGCGAAAGCGUGAGGAGCAAACAGGAUUAGAUACCCUGUUAGUCCACGCCGUAAACGAUGAGUGCUAAGUGUUAGAGGGUUUCCGCCCUUUAGUGCUGCAGAUAACGCAUUAAACACUCCGCCUGGGGAGUACGGUCGCAAGACUGAAACUCAAAGGAAUUGACGGGGGCCCGCACAAGCGGUGGAGCAUGUGGUUUAAUUUGAAGCAACGCGAAGAACCUUACCAGGUCUUGACAUCCUUUGACAACUCUAGAGAUAGAGCGUUCCCCUUCGGGGGACAGAGUGACAGUUGGUGCAUGGUUGUCGUCAGCUCGUGUCGUGAGAUGUUGGGUUAAGUCCCGCAACGAGCGCAACCCUUGAUUUUAGUUGCCAGCAUUUAGUUGGGCACUUUAAGGUGACUGCCGGUGACAAACCGGAGGAAGGUGGGGAUGACGUCAAAUCAUCAUGCCCCUUAUGACCUGGGCUACACACGUGCUCCAAUGGAUGGUACAAAGGGCUGCAAGACCGCGAGGUCAAGCCAAUCCCAUAAAACCAUUUUCAGUUCGGAUUGUAGGCUGCAACUCGCCUACAGGAAGCUGGAAUCGUUAGUAAUCGCGGAUCAGCAUGCCGCGGUGAAUACGUUCCCGGGCCUUGUCCACACCGCCCGUCACACCACGAGAGUUUGUAACACCCGAAGUCGGUGGAGUAACCGUAAGGAGCUAGCCGCCUAAAUUGGU
rnacentral:rRNA from 2 species